GUUCAGUGCGUGUAUCAAUAAAAAGUGUAUGAAAUGAAUAUAUAAUCGGUCGGUUAUUUGGUAUUCGGUGAAAUGUGAAAAUCGGAUCGCGAAAUGCAUUUACAUAAAUCGGUCGGUUAUACGUAAAAUCGGAUCGGGGAAUGCAUUUAAAUCGGUCGGUAAAAUCAUCAAAUCGGAUCGCGAAAUGCGUUUCAAUCGGAAAUCUCCCAUAAAGAGAAAUUCAUUGAGACCCUGUAGUGCAUUAUUUGCUUGUUGGGCCAAUGAUUGAGCUGUUUCCGGGCAUUUAUUGUCAUAGUAACAUAAUUGUCAGCUCUUAGCAGUGCAUGUGGAGCGACCUCACACAUUGCUAUAUUUGGCAAAUCUCAAGAUCUGCACAAUACUUGCCAUUGCUUCGAGGAAUGUGCUGAAUAAGAACAGAACGAGAACGAGAAUGAGAACAUCUCAAUCAAUGCAGCAAAUGCAAACGCUGCCUGGAGAGUUCGUCUUCAAGCCAACUGUCAAAACUGUGUUGGUCAGACAAUUGAGUUGAGUUGAUGACUCAAUGUUUGUCCUUUUAGGCCGCCACCCUGGGUGCAAUAGUCAAAACAAGGAGCAGCGUGCACACACGUGGAUUGUGGGUUGAAUUUACCAUCAUCCAAGUGACAAACAUGUGCAGCCAGAGUUCUAAUUUUUGGAGAUGGAGGAGCACGAGAAAUAGUAACAAAAAACAGAUGUUUGCCUUAUGUGUUUGUUUUUUUGUCUCUUCGAAAAUUAUGUAAAUGAGUUUCUAGCUCAUGAAUGGAACUCGACAAAAAUCGUCUUUCACAACGGAAUGCUCUUGAUUAUGCGAAGAUCGCUGGGGCUUAGGUUAACCGCAGUCACGACCAAAGCAAAGAAAAUAAUUCUACGUAUGCUAAGCGGGUUUUUUCUUUUUUUUGUUGGUUUUUGGAAAGUGUUAAACCCCGCCCCGUUCUUGUACUCCUGCUGAGUGCGGAGUACGAUUGUUGUAACCUGCUGCAGAGACAGAAAGAGCUGAGUGACCUGGUUUAAGCGCUUAAGGACUUAGGCACAAAGCGCACACUUAAGUGCCUCAUUGUCCAGUGAAGUGCAGCCACUCGAGGAUUCUUAAGUUGCGGCUAUAUCGAGCAUACAUAUAUCGGUUAUAUCGGCUUAGUGCUUAAGCCAUUCACCAAAUCGUUUAAUUGACACCGCAAAACCAACAAAAAGGAUUUCAAACCCAAGAUCAGUUGCAAGACGCAAGGUUUAACUUCGAGCCGAGGCAAACCGCAUUCAUGAAUGAAAACUACUUACAACUUGCGCUUACUACAAAACAAGGCCAAGAUUUCUCUCCGGCUUAAGCGUCUUAGAAAAUUAUGUGAGCUGCAAGUGAAUAGAAUGAACACAGCUUAAGCUAAGAAAAAAUUAAAUUUUCCAAGUGCUGCGCAUUUUUGAACUGAAAAUAAAGGCUGCUAGUUCAAAGCAUAAAGCAACGAGUUAAAUCAAACUGCUGCCAAAAGACAUUAACAAACUGGCGAGCAGAUCAACAGAUCAACUUAAGAUCGGGGCGCGCGAUCAACUGUUUUGGCUGAGAGAUACUACUACAGAUUCGCGCUGUGAUCAGAACCGAUCAGCGAUCAGCGGAUCAACGCAAUUAAAAUGUUAUCGCUGUUUGUUGUUAACGUUGACGAGCCACAGCGCAAAGACUUCCUGUGUGCUCCCAGUAAUACACUCUAUCCACAUCGUGGCAUAGGAGCCAAUGUGAUGGAGCUUGUCAGUGAGGAUAACG